rnacentral:rRNA from 1 species
UACGAAGGGGGCUAGCGUUGCUCGGAAUCACUGGGCGUAAAUGGUGCGUAGGCGGUUCUUUAAGGCAGGGGGGAAAUCCUGGAGCUCAACUCCAGAACUGCCUUUGAUACUGAAGAUCUUGAGUUCGGGAGAGGUGAGUGGAACUGCGAGUGUAGAGGUGAAAUUCGUAGAUAUUCGCAAGAACACCAGUGGCGAAGGCGGCUCACUGGCUCGGUACUGACGCUGAGGUGCGAAAGCGUGGGUAGCAAACAGG